rnacentral:rRNA from 1 species
GUGCCAGCCGCCGCGGUAAGACAGAGGGGGCAAGCGUUGUCCGGACUUACUGGGCGUAAAGCGCACGCAGGCGGUCACAGGCGUCGGUGCUGAAAGCGCACCGCUUAACGGUGCAAAGCGUGCCGAUACGCUGUGACUGGAGCCAUGCAGAGGCCAGUGGAAUUGCCGGUGUAGUGGUGAAAUGCGUAGAGAUCGGCAGGAACACCCAAGGGGAAGCCAGCUGGCUGGGCAUCGGCUGACGCUCAUGUGCGACAGCGUGGGGAGCGAACUGGAUUAGAUACCCUGGUAGUCC